rnacentral:lncRNA from 1 species
GACGGUAGAAGUUUGGACUACGUUUGCAAACAGGUAUAGAUAAGAGAAUAUCCCGCACCUUUUUAAAUUGAAACAACUUUAUGCCUCUUCUCAAGGAAGUUCAAAUGCGACUUUAAAAAAAAAAAUUAUGGGAUCUAUUUGAUUCUUUCAUUGCUAAACCUUCUUUUGUCUUAAGUUUGUGUACUUAUGACAUAAAUAAGCAAAUUAGGGACAUGGAACAAGGGACAAAGUGAGGAAUUAAUUAUGAAUGUUAGAACACAGAUUUUAGCACUUGAACAGGUUCCUCACAUGGAUAGAGCUCUUAGCAUGGUCACCACUGAGGAGGACCAUGCCAUAAAAGAGGUCAUUUAGAGCAAACUCAAAUUUAUGUGGCAAAAAAGAGAGUUAAGACUAUGUAACCAGCAGAGAAUGAAGUUAAAAAAAGACAGAAAAAGAUGAGGAUUUUCCUGAAAGUUGUGUUAAAUAAGAAUGGCAAGAGAUUAAACAAAAAAUGGUUUUGUGACCGUUGUAAAUAACGCAUGGUUACAUGCAAGAUAGGUGUUAUUUUCUUCAUGGAUUUCCAGAUAAGGGAGGCAAGGAAACCAAAGCUAUGCUAGUUAAGGCAUUGAACUCACAGAGUGAAGAAGAAACCAAGAAACAAUCUGAGAAAGUUGAAAACACAAAAUUAACUGAUAAUGAGAAUGAAACUCUGAAAAAAUGGAUGGAUAAGGAAAAGAUUGAUAUGAUUUUUUACUUGAUCUUUUUUAUGAAAAUCAUGAUCUGUUUUGCAGGUUUUUUUUAAAAACAGAAGCAAAUAAUUUAGAAUCUAAGAUAAAUCCUAAAUUAAAUGAUGCAUGUGCACACACCCAUAUGUUACAACUUAAUUGUGACUCAUUAAUAUGAUAUUAAGGUAUCUUUUAUGCCUACCUCUUGUGUCUUGCAGGAAGCAACCUCACUUCAAGUGUUUGGACAGUGUAGCUUGAUUGAGGGACUUUAUGUUUUAUCUGUUGAAUUUUUAAAUAGCCAUAGUGUUUUACACAAACUAAAUGUGGUUAUUCCUUUUGAUACCAGCUGACACUCGAUCCAGAUUAGGACAUGCUUUUACUAAAAAGUUAAAUUUUAGUAGUCACAAUUUGUGAGUGGUCAUAUAUAUCUUAGUAGCGUUUUAAUUGUAUACCAGAUAAAGUGAGGUCAGACAAGGAUUUACGUACGGAGCUCCUCAACAUUAACCAUCUUCGUCAUUACGUUUGACAUUCUUCACAAAUCAACAGAUCGGAUCGUCGACGACGUCUCUGAUACCACCUGAUAGCUAGCGGAAGCGGAAUUGGAAUUGAAAAUAGUACCUGGCCUUCACAGGAGCGAAGUACGAUCUGUCAAUGGAUGGAGGAAGAAUACGAUAUAUAGAUGAUUAUCAUCGUAGAGAUCGAGGGAUGAUCGGAGAUAAGAAUGACUGGAAUUCACCAACGGAAGAUUAGAAAUACGAUCAAAACUGCCUCCACUAACCG